UGGGGAAUUUUCCGCAAUGGGCGAAAGCCUGACGGAGUGACGCCGCGUGGGGGACGAAGGCCUUCGGGUUGUAAACCCCUGUCAGAGGGAAAGAAGGGUCCCCUGGCUAAUAUCCAGGUGAUCUGACGGUACCUUCAGAGGAAGCCCCGGCCAACUCUGUGCCAGCAGCCGCGGUAAGACAGAGGGGGCAAGCGUUGCUCGGAAUCACUGGGCGUAAAGGGCGCGUAGGCGGGAUGGCAAGUCAGUCGUGAAAUCUCUCGGCUCAACCGAGAAACGUCGGCUGAUACUGCCGUUCUUGAGGGAUGCAGAGGAGACUGGAAUUCCCGGUGUAGCGGUGAAAUGUGUAGAGAUCGGGAGGAACACCGGUGGCGAAGGCGGGUCUCUGGGCAUUUCCUGACGCUGAGGCGCGAAAGCGUGGGGAGCAAACGGGAUUAGAUACCCCGGUAGUCCACGCUGUAAACGAUGACGACUAGGUGUGGGGUGGUUCAGUCCAUUCCGUGCCGCAGCUAACGCAUUAAGUCGUCCGCCUGGGGAGUACGGCCGCAAGGUUGC
rnacentral:rRNA from 1 species